UUGGUCUAUAGCUCUGUGUGUGUGUGUAUGCAUGUAGGUCUAUAGCUCUGUGUGUGUGUGUAUGCAUGUAGGUCUAUAGCUCUGUGUGUGUGUGUAUGCAUGUAGGUCUAUAGCUCUGUGUCUGUGUGUAUGCAUGUAGGUCUAUAGCUCUGUGUCUGUGUGUAUGCAUGUAGGUCUAUAGCUCUGUGUCUGUGUGUAUGCAUGUAGGUCUAUAGCUCUGUGUCUGUGUGUAUGCAUGUAGGUCUAUAGCUCUGUGUCUGUGUGUAUGCAUGUAGGUCUAUAGCUCUGUGUCUGUGUGUAUGCAUGUAGGUCUAUAGCUCUGUGUCUGUGUGUAUGCAUGUAGGUCUAUAGCUCUGUGUGUGUGUGUAUGCAUGUAGGUCUAUAGCUCUGUGUCUGUGUGUAUGCAUGUAGGUCUAUAGCUCUGUGUCUGUGUGUAUGCAUGUAGGUCUAUAGCUCUGUGUCUGUGUGUGUGUAUGUAGGUCUAUAGCUCUGUGUCUGUGUGUAUGCAUGUAGGUCUAUAGCUCUG